rnacentral:rRNA from 1 species
AGCGUAGGCGGUGUGGUAAGUCUGGUGUGAAACCUCUGGGCUCAACCCAGAGCUGGCAUCAGAUACUGCCGUGCUAGAGUGCGGGAGAGGAGAGUGGAAUUCCCGGUGUAGCGGUGAAAUGCGUAGAUAUCGGGAGGAACAUCGGUGGCGAAGGCGGCUCUCUGGACCGCAACUGACGCUGAGGCUCGAAAGCCAGGGGAGCAAACAGGAUUAGAUACCCUGGUAGUCCUGGCUGUAAACGAUGAACACUUGGUAUAGCGGGUAUCGAAUCCCGCUGUGCCGGAGCUAACGCAUUAAGUGUUCCGCCUGGGGAGUACGGUCGCAAGGCUGAA